rnacentral:rRNA from 1 species
CAACUCGACUACAUGAAGCUGGAAUCGCUAGUAAUCGCGAAUCAGAAUGUCGCGGUGAAUACGUUCCCGGGUCUUGUACACACCGCCCGUCACACCAUGAGAGUCGAUAACACCCGAAGCCUGUGAGCUAACCUUUUAGGAGGCAGCAGUCGAAGGUGGGGUUNAUGAUUGGGGUGAAGUCGUAACAAGGUACC